AGCGGACAGAAGGGAGCUUGCUCCCGGAUGUUAGCGGCGGACGGGUGAGUAACACGUGGGUAACCUGCCUGUAAGACUGGGAUAACUCCGGGAAACCGGAGCUAAUACCGGAUAGUUCCUUGAACCGCAUGGUUCAAGGAUGAAAGACGGUUUCGGCUGUCACUUACAGAUGGACCCGCGGCGCAUUAGCUAGUUGGUGGGGUAAUGGCUCACCAAGGCGACGAUGCGUAGCCGACCUGAGAGGGUGAUCGGCCACACUGGGACUGAGACACGGCCCAGACUCCUACGGGAGGCAGCAGUAGGGAAUCUUCCGCAAUGGACGAAAGUCUGACGGAGCAACGCCGCGUGAGUGAUGAAGGUUUUCGGAUCGUAAAGCUCUGUUGUUAGGGAAGAACAAGUGCGAGAGUAACUGCUCGCACCUUGACGGUACCUAACCAGAAAGCCACGGCUAACUACGUGCCAGCAGCCGCGGUAAUACGUAGGUGGCAAGCGUUGUCCGGAAUUAUUGGGCGUAAAGGGCUCGCAGGCGGUUUCUUAAGUCUGAUGUG
rnacentral:rRNA from 1 species